rnacentral:rRNA from 1 species
GCCUUAUGGUUGUAAAGCACUUUAAGCGAGGAGGNNGCUNCNUUAGUUAAUACCUAGAGAUAGUGNNNNNUACUCGCNNNNUNAGCACCGGCUAACUCUGUGCCAGCAGCCGCGGUAAUACAGAGGGUGCGAGCGUUAAUCGGAUUUACUGGGCGUAAAGCGUGCGUAGGCGGCUUAUUAAGUCGGAUGUGAAAUCCCCGAGCUUAACUUGGGAAUUGCAUUCGAUACUGGUGAGCUAGAGUAUGGGAGAGGAUGGUAGAAUUCCAGGUGUAGCGGUGAAAUGCGUAGAGAUCUGGAGGAAUACCGAUGGCGAANGCAGCCAUCUGGCCUAAUACUGACGCUGAGGUACGAAAGCAUGGGGAGCAAACAGGAUUAGAUACCCUGGUAGUCCAUGCCGUAAACGAUGUCUACUAGCCGUUGGGGCCUUUGAGGCUUUAGUGGCGCAGCUAACGCGAUAAGUAGACCGCCUGGGGAGUACGGUCGCAAGACUAAAACUCAAAUGAAUUGACGGGGGCCCGCACAAGCGGUGGAGCAUGUGGUUUAAUUCGAUGCAACGCGAAGAACCUUACCUGGCCUUGACAUACUAGAAACUUUCCAGAGAUGGAUUGGUGCCUUCGGGAAUCUAGAUACAGGUGCUGCAUGGCUGUCGUCAGCUCGUGUCGUGAGAUGUUGGGUUAAGUCCCGCAACGAGCGCAACCCUUUUCCUUACUUGCCAGCAUUUCGGAUGGGAACUUUAAGGAUACUGCCAGU